rnacentral:rRNA from 1 species
CCUACGGGAGGCAGCAGUGGGGAAUAUUGCGCAAUGGGCGAAAGCCUGACGCAGCGACGCCGCGUGCGGGAUGAAGGCCUUCGGGUCGUAAACCGCUGUCGGGAGGGACGAAUUCAUGACGGUACCUCCAAAGGAAGCACCGGCUAACUCUGUGCCAGCAGCCGCGGUAAUACAGAGGGUGCGAGCGUUGUCCGGAAUCACUGGGCGUAAAGGGCGCGUAGGCGGCCUGGUAAGUAGGGGGUGAAAUCUUGCGGCUCAACCGCAAGACUGCCUUCUAGACUGCCGGGCUGGAGCACGGUAGAGGCUGGUGGAAUUCCCGGUGUAGCGGUGGAAUGCGUAGAGAUCGGGAAGAACAUCGGUGGCGAAGGCGGCCAGCUGGGCCGUUGCUGACGCUGAGGCGCGACAGCGUGGGGAGCAAACAGGAUUAGAUACCCGUGUAG